ACUGGUUGCCUGUUUGAGCAGUGCUGUGGGAAAAAAUUGGGGAGACUGCAACAUCUGCAACCAAGAUUACAGGUUUCCCUGACGUUAGCAUGUAGCAGUGCAU